AAAUCCUCUUCACAACUAGCUAGGAGAGAAUCAAACAGUUGGUAGGUUUCUUGUACCUUUGUGUAUGCUAGUUACUAUAAUGCUUAAUGCUAGAAGAAAAAUUCGUAAGUAAGAAAAUGACGGUAAGAUGGAUGUUUUAUUUUCUGGUAUCAGCUUUUUGCUCUUUUGUUUCGUUUUGAAUAUCAGAGAGAGAGAGAGAGAAAAGAAACUAAGCACAUGCCUUGCAAACCAAACAAAAACCUUGACUGAUAACUAGUUACACAGAUAUUUGUAGACUCGGUAACUAAUCCUAUGCCUACUAGGAUUAGGAACAUUCUAACCCAAUAACAAAUACGAAGAUUUUCUGAAUAUUCCUAGUAAAAACUCUUAAAUAGUUCUAAAACCUUUGCCUUCCUGUAUAGAAAGUUUACAAGAAAAAUCUGAAUUUAAUAAUUAAUAAUUGAAUCAAAAUAAUUCCUAAAUUUAUUUUUUACUUGUCAUUUAUCCGCACACAAUCCACAAUGAAACUGCAUAAAAUUCAUAAAAACAAUAAAACACCAUCCCAACUGACAGCCCCAACAUUCCCAUUUCAACACCAUUACAAAGCAUAAUCAGGCAAUGAGCCAUUAGUCUUGCAUUACAUAGAGUUGCUUGUAUUGGCUAUGUUACCAAAUAUAUGUAGCUCAAUGAUGGCAGAUGUGUUCAUCUCAUAAAUUGACAUGAGAAAAAAUAAAUAAAUAAAAUAGAACCCUAGGCACUUGGUCACUAGAGUUGGCCUAAUGCAUAUCAUAUCCAAGUGCAUUUUACCCCUAAAGCACUUGCAACAUUGAUCAAAUGAUCCAUUUAUAGGUGUAAGCAAAAGAUACUCCACUUUUUCACAGAAGUAUAGCUUUGAGCACACUCUAAUAAAAAGCAAUAGGAAAUAAUUUUGAGUUCACAGAUUCAUAGCCUUGAGCACACUGUAAUAUAAAGCAAUAGGAAAUACUUUUUGAGUUCUCUAGUAGGUUCUGUCCGAUCUUGCAAGUACAAUCCAUAUGAACUCAAAAAAUAAAAAUUUGUCCAAAAGCCUAAAUUUCAAGGAAACCUAAGAAAAAAGACACUUCUAUGUUCUUUAGAAAAACUAUAUUAUCCUCUAUCAACAGAAUUCCAAAAAAUAACUGGCACCUGAUUAAGAACAAACCCCUUCA
rnacentral:misc_RNA from 1 species